UCUUCGUCAGCGUGUAGCAUGCAAAUAGGCCACUAAAUUGAGUCAAUAGCUUUAUUCACUCGGUCUAUUUGACUGUAGAUUAUAGGAGGAGCAAUGUGAAAUAUAAUAUAACAUUAAUAUAGAUAUUCCAAUUCAUACCGAGAACGAAAUUGAUAUUCUAAAGUGAAAAGGGAAGUAGCCUAGAACAGAAAGCGUGACUUGAGUUUCUGUUAAUGGUCUGCGAAAAUACACAGUACUCGGAAUCUUGGAAUUUACCUCCACACUCACAGCUGAAAGAUGGUGAAGAUGAACCCACUGUUUAUGAUCCUCCUCCUCUCCACAUCCUUAGAGCUGGUCAGUGGAGGCUGUUCGUCAUGUGACGCUCCUCCAUCUCCAUGUAAGUUGUGUGUCCAACGUCCUGUUUAUGUCCGGGAGGGAGAAAUGGCAGUGCUGCAGUGCCCGCUGCGGACCACCAGGGCA